AUACGGAGGGUGCAAGCGUUAAUCGGAAUUACUGGGCGUAAAGCGUACGUAGGCGGUCCGUUAAGUUAGAUGUGAAAGCCCCGGGCUUAACCUGGGAACUGCAUUUAAAACUGGCGAACUGGAGUUGAGUAGAGGGGAGUGGAAUUUCAGGUGUAGCGGUGAAAUGCGUAGAGAUCUGAAGGAACACCAGUGGCGAAGGCGACUCCCUGGACUCGAACUGACGCUGAGGUACGAAAGCGUGGGUAGCAAACGGGAUUAGAAACCCUAGUAGUCC
rnacentral:rRNA from 1 species